GACGAACGCUGGCGGCGUGCCUAAUACAUGCAAGUAGAACGCUGAAGGAGGAGCUUGCUUCUCCGGAUGAGUUGCGAACGGGUGAGUAACGCGUAGGUAACCUGCCUGGUAGCGGGGGAUAACUAUUGGAAACGAUAGCUAAUACCGCAUAACAGUAGAUAUUGCAUGAUAUCUGCUUGAAAGGUGCAAUUGCAUCACUACCAGAUGGACCUGCGUUGUAUUAGCUAGUUGGUGAGGUAACGGCUCACCAAGGCGACGAUACAUAGCCGACCUGAGAGGGUGAUCGGCCACACUGGGACUGAGGCACGGCCCAGACUCCUACGGGAGGCAGCAGUAGGGAAUCUUCGGCAAUGGACGGAAGUCUGACCGAGCAACGCCGCGUGAGUGAAGAAGGUUUUCGGAUCGUAAAGCUCUGUUGUAAGAGAAGAACGAGUGUGAGAGUGGAAAGUUCACACUGUGACGGUAUCUUACCAGAAAGGGACGGCUAACUACGU
rnacentral:rRNA from 1 species